CCAUCAAUCAUGGCUUCUGCAACUUUGUCCGCCCUUGCUGGAUCUCUUCUUUCACCCUUGAGUAAAGUCAGUUUGGAGAAAUUGAUCGGUCAUUUAUGGGAUUAUCUAUCAUCAUCACCAUCACCAUCUUCCCCUGACGAAGCAGAGAAACAACAACAACUGGAGGAUUCACUGGAAGCCUUGAAAGAUGCCAAGUUGACUGUCAGGUUGAUGCAGAGUAGAAUCAUGAAAUUGUUUCAAAAACAUCAUCAAAACGAGAGGGUUGUGGGUUUGCACAACAAGCUCAAAGAUGUUGGUUAUGACAUACAAGACUUAGAAUCAGAGAUGACAUACAUGGAACUGGAGAGAAAGGUGCAGGAGAUCAACAAGGCUGAAGAAGAAGAAGUAGGUGACAGUACUAGUAGCCAAUUCAGGGGAAAGCGCUCGUUUCCAUUUCGUCUACCAACUGCCUUCUUAUCUAAGAAGAAACGUGGAGUUCCAGCAUCAUCACAAUCCUCAAGUCUGUCAACAGAUGAAGACAUUGUGAGACAGGUUACUAGUAUUAUAAAACAAUUAAAUAGCAUUGAAUCAAAGUUGAAGGAAGAAACCAUGUUGGAAGAAUUGUUUGACCAGAUCAAGUUGAAUGGAGUUUAUGAUCCAAGGGAAUAUCACUUCACAGAAAAUGAACGUGUCACCACGUCAUCAACGAAUGAAAGGAAGAUAUAUGGUCGAAAUGAUGAAAUACAACGGUUGAUUGAGUUUCUCACAAGGCCAAAUGUCAACGAUAGUAAUAUUUCUGUUGUUCCAAUAGUUGGGAUGGGUGGUAUUGGCAAAACAACUCUGGCUCAGUUUGUCUUCAACGACAAAGAAAUAGAAAACCAUUUUGAUGAGAAAGCGUGGAUAUAUGUAUCAAAUCACUUUGAUAGAUGUAGAAUCACCAAAGAAAUGCUACAUGUCAUCAACCCAAAUGUUCAAUGUUGCAACACCUCCAACUUGGAUUUUCUUGAGAGAGAACUCCAAAGGCAUUUGACAGGGAAGAAAUUUUUAUUGGUGCUAGAUGAUAUUUGGUCUGAUGAGUGGCAAUGGCUCCUUGCCCCUCUCCAAUCUUCACAAGCACAUGCCAUUAAAAUCAUUGUGACUUGUAGGGAUCCUAUGGUGCUAAGAAGCAUAGAUGAAAGAAAUAAAAUUAUUUUGAAAGGUAUAGAUCAUCAAGAGUAUUGGUCACUUUUUUUGAAUUGUGCCUUUGCCGAAAACAAUCCUGACAAUUAUUCACAGAAGCUACAUGAUAUAGGAAGGCGCAUAGUGAAAAAGCUGAUGGGAUCACCAUUAGCAGCGAAGACAGUGGGAAAGCUUCUAGGACGUGAUCUAACUGAGAAGCAUUGGAAUGAUGUAUUGGAAAAUGAUUUGUGGAAAUUAAAAACCGAUGCACAUGAUAUUUUGCCUGCACUUGCAUUGAGUUACUAUCAUCUACCUUCACAUCUUCAGCCAUGCUUUGUUUAUUGUUCUUUGUUGCGUUAUCGUUACUUUAAAAUGGAGGAGUUGAUUUACAUGUGGAUAGCCAAUGGGUAUAUACAUGAAAGCGGAAGUAAUUCAAAGACAAUGCAUGAUAUAGGAGAAAAGUAUUGUUAUGAACUGCUUGCAAUGGGUUUCUUUGAUAAGGUUGAUUCUACAGAGGUCAAAAUGCAUGACUUAAUGCAUGAUUUAGCCCAACUAGUUUCUCAUGGGGAGAUUUGCAUUUACAAGAGUGGGAAAGAUGAAAAACUCUCAAAAAAUGCCCGUCAUGUAUAUGUAGAAGACUCGAUUGAUCCUGGGUUGGUAUGUGAAACUAAUAACUUGCGCACAUUUGUGUUAGAGGGAGUUGGUUCCAUGUUUGCUCUCUUCAACCAUGGGGCAUUCAAAAAAAUCCGAAUGUUAGUAAUCUCUAAUGAUAAUUUGCAAGAAUUCCCGGAUGUUAUUUGCUAUCUAAAACACUUGCAAUAUUUGGAUUUGUUGAGGACCCACAUCACAUCGAUACCAGAAUCACUAUGUGGGCUUUAUCAGUUGAAAGUGUUGAAAUUGCCGCGGUCUCUACUGACCUUACCAAGUCAAGUACAUAGUCUCAUAAACCUUGAAAUAUUGUACACAGGUAAUAGAAGAAAUGGCUUGAUGUGCAUGCAAUUGAGGAAUUUGAAUAACCUAAGAGGACGACUUUCAAUUGUAGCCUUGGAGAUUAUCCGCAAUAAGAAAGAAGCAACAAAAGCCAAAUUGAAUGAAAAAUGUCAUAUCAAGAAGUUGAAUUUACAUUGGAAUAUUGAUACGGUGGAUGCUUGCAAGAAUGAUGUCCAAGAAGUACUUGAAGGCCUUCAACCUCAUCCCGAUUUAGAACAAUUAAAUAUUGAAGCGUACAUGGGUACCAAAACGCCCGGCUGGCUUAUGACACUUGCAUUACAGAAACUACAAAAAUUAUCCUUAAUUAAAUGCAAAAACUGGGCAUGCCUACCUGCAGCACUUGGGUUGUUAGCCUCCCUCAAGGUACUACAUUUAGAUGACAUUGGGAACAUAACAAUUGAGUGUGAUGAUUCCGUGCCUAAGAUGUUUCCAUCCCUGGAACUGCUUCAAUUGCACAGAGCAACAGUAUCAUUUAAGAGCAUGUCAUCAUCGUUAUCAUCAUCUAGAUCUCUAACAACACCAGGGCAUAGCAAGUUCUUUCCUCGUCUUCAGGAGCUUAUUGUGGACAAAUGUGAUGAGGUGAAUGGAUUACUCUUGCCCCAUCUUUCAACUCUUAAGGCACUCCAUUUAAAAGCUAGUGGUGGGCUCCAAAGUCAAGUGCCAAGAUGCCUCCAAAACUUUACCUCGCUUACUUCAAUUUAUUUAUUGUUUAUAAAAGGGUUAAAGACUGAAACCACCAUCGAAAUCGGGGCACAACAGCAGCAGGAAGGUUGGGUCCUACCAAAUCUGAAAUAUAUUAAGAUAGAAUGCUGUGAAGAUAAGUCAUUUAUGCAGGAUUUGUUGCUUCGUGUUCCUUCACUUGAGAUCUUGUGUCUUUCCAAAUGUAGUCCAGUAAGCCUUCUGGCAGUUGGACGCUUGUCCUUCCUUAGAGACAUUGAAUUAGAAGAGGUGGAGCUAAUAUUAGAGGAUUUAGCUCCCGUGUUUCCAUCUCUAAAUGAACUGCGAAUAUUGAAGAAAUCAACAAUUAUUUUCCAGAACGUGCCAUCGUCGGUAACAACACAAAUUCACAACUGCUUUCCUUGUCUUGGUUUCCUCAAUAUUCAGGAGUGUGAUGAACUAGUGAAUGGAUUACAUUGGUCCAUAUCUUCCCAAUUGCCUCAAUGCCUCUAUGGCCUCUCUUCUCUUACUAAUUUGUAUUUCAGUGGCACAAAGAUUGAAAAUUUUCCUAUAGAGGUGAUGGCCACACUGCAUGCACUAUCCUGGUUAGAGCUUAACCAUUGUAAUGAGCUUUCAUCAGUGGAGGGUUUACAAGCUCUCCCUUCCCUGAGAUAUUUGUAUAUUUUUAACUGCCCCAAAUUCAGAACCUGGUCUAUAGAGGAGAUGCCAAUGCUGUAUGAAAUAGAUAUAAGAUCUUGCCAAGAUUUGGCAUCUAUGCCUCCUUGGUUGCAUCGUCUUCCUUUACUGAAGAACUUGAGGAUUCACAAAUGCCCAAAGUUCGAUUCACUACCAGAGGAUGGCCUCCCUUCCUCACUUGAAACAUUGGAAAUCAUAGAAUGUGAACCAGGCUUAAUGGAACGUUGCCAACAAGAGCAAUCUCCAGAAUGGCUAAUGAUUCAGCACAUCCCCAAACGAAAAUAUAUUUAUUGAAUUUAUCUAAGCGGAAAACAAUUUAGCUGCUUUUUUCUAUCAACCUUUGCUCAAUCUUUGGAUGUUGGAACCUCUUCAGAUUAAUUGUGACUUGCUAGUGAUCUCAGCAGCGCAGGAUAUGAAGAAUCCGCUCACAAACAAAUUUCUCUAUGACUAUGACAGUGAUACUAUUUCAUUUUGAGAAUAAUCAUCUCUAGACCAAGGGCAAGCAAAAAUUCCAAGUUUUCUACAACAAGCGCUCAGUACCUGGCUUUCUUUAACAUGCUACUCAGACUUGAAUUAAUAGCAUUAGUUAUCUGUCACUCUUGAGAAGAAAUAUGGAUGAAUUUGUUCAUGAUUGUUGUAUUAUUAGUAUUGAUUCACUCUUUGUCAAUGUUAAUUCUUCUGCUAAACAAACUAAAGGUGUUGACUGCAUAACAAUGAACCUUGAUUUCACCAAAGAGCAGAACAAAUUGGUGUAUAGUUUGGUUUA